CCACCGGACCUCCCCGGGGGCGGGGCCGAGGAAGCCGCGCGCAGAGAGGCGGAGCCGGGACCCCCGGCCUGGCUCUGCUCUUCGGGCGCGCGGGAGCGGUCCAAAGCCUCGCACCCCACCCUGGUAGGGCCGAUCCACGGAGACCGUGGCCCCCAGUGCCGCGCGGGUUCGGCCCGGGGCGGACAGUGACGCAGGUGCCGGGAGCCCCCAUUAAGAGCUGCGACUGCGGGGGAGGGGGGUCAGUUACACAUUUACUACCGGGCGCGAACCGAGCCUGACAUGCUUGACCCCCACACAAAGUUCUCUGCACUUUGAAACCCAGAGCGCGGCUAACCAGAUUCAGUCCACUUGAUUCAAGUGCAACAUUGAAAAGAAAAGAAAAUUAACCUGGGUUGCCGGUGGGGAUUUGGAGGGGACAGCGGAGGCGAGCUUGUCGCAUUCGCGCACUCGUCGUCCGGUCCCCAGGCCACCAGCUACUCCUGAAGCGCAGUGCUGGGGAAUGAGGGCCCUGGAGGCCACUGGCGGCGGGCCACUUCCUGGCGGGGUGGGCAGGUGGAACAGCGACCACCCCCUGGCAGUCCCUGCGGAGCAGAGCCUGUGACAGCGUGAGACACACCGUCCCACUCCCGCAGGGAACGACGGGGAGGGAGCCUUAGAUCUGCGACUCCCUGGGGGCGGCCGGAUGAGAGGUGUAGGCUUUAGGGCUUGGCACCCCUCAGGGGCGGGCCUGUAGGACGUGGAGGAGGGGGGAGACCUCCCGCCUGGACCAGUUCCUGGGCCACAGCCCCAAGCUCAGCGUCCAAGACAGGGUCCCUUAGAGCCUGGGCCGGGUUUCUACAUGUGUGUCUCCUCCGCUCCGCGAGUUUUACUCGUCGUUGGAAACGGUGGCGACCUAAGGACACCUGCAGACUGCAAGGUAACCACAGGGACAGCCCAGACACCGUUUCCUGGUCCUAGGGGCCAAACAGGAACACAUGGCCAAACCUCACUUACAGGAGAUCUGCAAAGGGUAGAGACAGAAGAGGAUCCCAUUCACACCCAGGUGCAGGCAAGCGUGGGGUCCACCAUGUUAAGUCCACAGUUUUAAAGGGAGGAGGGGGUGCUAUAGAAAGAUGGGCUGCCGUGCUUGGUGGGGCUGCAAGGUGACCGGUGGCAUCCACAGGACAGAAAGCUCAGUGACAGAGUGCCUCGUGUGUGCAAGGCCCUGGUUUCUCUCUUUCCUUUGUGUGGGUGUACAACUGGAGCUUGAACUCAGGGGUGUUUUACUACUUGCAAACUUUGAUCCUCCUGCCUUAGCCUCCCAAAUUGCUGGGAUUACAGGCGUGCACCAGUGUGCCCAGCAAGUCCCUGAUGUUGAUCCCCAGUACAAAAAAUAAAGUAAAAUUACAAAUC